ACUAAACUAGCUAGCACUACCAGCUACAAGAUUAUCAGAAGGAUGAAAAAGAAAAACUCACUGGCGUGCCCUAUGUUUGCCAAUCUCUCAACCCCGUGUUAUUUAAAUACCAUAAAUCCACCCAAGUCUAACCAAUUCAUGAACCCAUAAUUAUAAUUACUCCUAACAAGCUUAGAAACUAGGUUUCAUAUCAGAUUUGCGAUCCCUCUAACGGUCAGUCUCCAUGGAAAAUAAUGAAGGGUGAAUGUCGAUACAAUCAAACCUAACCCCUACACUCCCUUCUGCGCUCUCUAAUUAAAAAUGAAAUCCAAGCUUCAUUACAUUACAACUUAAGAUCAAUGAACCCAAAAUGAUCAGUUUCCUACAACCAUCUAGAAUUGAAAAUUUUCACCUCGAAUGAAGCUAUUAUUCUGAAAUAAGCAAUAACAACAUUACAAGUGGAAAAUACGACAAACUCAGAUACCUAAAACAGAAAAACUUCCACACUUAUUCAACAAUAGUUGAGAACAAGCCAAUUUAACAGGUAGAGAAACACAAUUAAAAAGAAAAAAGAAAAAAGACAACAAUUUAUAAAAAGCUCCUUCAAAGGCCUACGUGGAGAAUCUUCCACUUCACUAUAAGAGGAGGAAGAGAAGCCACGUAAGGAAAUGAGGCCAUGGCCUGGUCGCCGUUCGGUUGGAGUUAUUGGAGGCGACGAGCAGUCGCCAGCGCAGGACAAACCGGAGGGGAAAAACUAAUGGAAACCCCUUUUUCCUUUUACAUCAUUAAAAAAUAAAAAUAAAAAAAAAGGCCAAAAUGAGGCCCUUCCGAUUUUGGGCCUGAGGCGCUGGCCUGGCAAUAGAAUCGGGCCUGCAAAUAUCCCCAAGUCAUUUUGGAGUGAAAUUGUGAUGACAAGUUGAUUAAUUGUUUUUUUGAUUAAUUUGAUAUAAUCCAGUGCUUAAAUGGUAACACUCCUUGUGAGCAAUGGUCUGGUCGGGAAGGUGUGAUGAAUACUCUACCUUAAACACCUUCAGUUGUGCGAGCCUAUGUCGAGGAAUUUUGUUUUU
rnacentral:lncRNA from 1 species